rnacentral:rRNA from 1 species
CACGUAGUUAGCCGGGGCUUCUUCUGAAGGUACCGUCACCCUCUGGGCUAUUAACCCGAGUAGCUUCUUCCCUCCUGAAAGAGGUUUACAACCCGAAGGCCUUCUUCCCUCACGCGGCGUCGCUGCGUCACGGUUUCCCGCAUUAGCGCAAUAUUCCCCACUGCUGCCUCCCGUAGGAGUCUGAGCCGUGUCUCAGUCCCAGUGUGGCUGUUCGUCCUCUCAGACCAGCUACGGAUCGUCGCCUUGGUGAGCCGUUACCUCACCAACUAGCUAAUCCGCCGCGGACCCAUCCUCGGCCAGAGGCCGAAGCUACCUUUCCCACCGCCCCUAGAGGCUGUGGGCUAUCCGGCAUUAAUCCGAGUUUCCCCGGGCUAUUCCGGUGCCGAGGGCAGGUUAUCCACGUGUUACUCACCCGUUCGCCGCUGUCCCCAGGACCGAAGUCCUGGUUCUCGCUCGACUUGCAUGUGUUAGGCGCGCCGCCAGCCGUUCUCCUGCGCCAGGACUCAAACUCUCUGAGACGCGACGACG